GCACGUCCAAUUAAAGGGGUACUAGCUGUCAAAUUCGUGUCCCCGAUUUGACUCAAAGUCUCGUAUUGGAUUUAUAACAAUGUAAAACAUUCAUCCAAAAUAACCAUUAACAGAACACGAGCUUGAUAACAUGUUGCUUCGUUUCGUGGGUAAUUUAGUCCAAACGCCAUAUAAUUGCCUAUCGAGAUGACCACGAAAACAACCGAUGGUCACAUAACACGAUAAACAUAAACAUAAAUAUAAAUCGAUAAAUGGAUAUUAAUGGAUUUCUCUAUUCUGUUUGAUUUCAAUGUUGAUGUAAAAAAGCAAAAUUUUGAUUUUAUCUGCACAUUUCACUGUCAAUGUUGAAAUUCUUUCUCUUUUAAUAGCCCAACACGCAUCAAUCAUGCACAAUCCAUCUCUAGCUUAGGGGUUAAAUUGAUGUUCACACGAAUACGGAUGCAAUGAGGUCGAAUUAUUCACUUGCGAGUGAAUGUAAUUCAUCAUCGAUGUUAAUAGCUUAUUUUGACAAAAU
rnacentral:lncRNA from 1 species